rnacentral:lncRNA from 13 species
UGUCCUGGUAUUUCUGGUUGUAGGGGUGUAGUCUAGAGUUCAGUGUCCUGGUAUUUCUGGUUGAUGAUGUAGUCUUCAGUUCAGUGUCCUGGUAUUUCUGGUUGUAGUCUACAGUUCAGUGUCCUGGUAUUUCUGGUUGAUGGUGUUGUCUACAAUUCAGUGUCCUGGUAUUUCUGGUAGGUGGUUUAGUCUAGAGUUCAGUGUCCUGGUAUUUCUGGUAGGUGGUGUAGUCUAGAGUUCAGUGUCCUGGUAUUUCUGGUUGAUGAUGUAGUCUUCAGUUCAGUGUCCUGGUAUUUCUGGUUGUAGUCUACAGUUCAGUGUCCUGGUAUUUCUGGUUGAUGGUGUUGUCUACAAUUCAGUGUCCUGGUAUUUCUGGUAGGUGGUUUAGUCUAGAGUUCAGUGUCCUGGUAUUUCUGGUAGGUGGU